AGGUCACGGCGAGACGAGCCGUUUAUCAUUACGAUAGGUGUCAAGUGGAAGAUGGCCUUCAACAAAAAAAAGUG
rnacentral:rRNA from 1 species